rnacentral:tRNA from 1 species
GACCAUGUAGCUCAGUUGGCAGAGCAUUGGACUAGUAUCCCAAAGGUCGCAGGUUCGAUUCCCACCGUGGCCA